rnacentral:rRNA from 1 species
ACGAACGCUGGCGGCGUGCUUAACACAUGCAAGUCGCACGGAAAGGCCCUGCUUUUGUGGGGUGCUCGAGUGGCGAACGGGUGAGUAACACGUGAGUAACCUGCCCUUGACUUUGGGAUAACUUCAGGAAACUGGGGCUAAUACCGGAUAGGAGCUCCUGCUGCAUGGUGGGGGUUGGAAAGUUUCGGCGGUUGGGGAUGGACUCGCGGCUUAUCAGCUUGUUGGUGGGGUAGUGGCUUACCAAGGCUUUGACGGGUAGCCGGCCUGAGAGGGUGACCGGCCACAUUGGGACUGAGAUACGGCCCAGACUCCUACGGGAGGCAGCAGUGGGGAAUAUUGCACAAUGGGCGGAAGCCUGAUGCGGCAACGCCGCGUGCGGGAUGACGGCCUUCGGGUUGUAAACCGCUUUCGCCUGUGACGAAGCGUGAGUGACGGUAAUGGGUAAAGAAGCACCGGCUAACUACGUG